CUUUUGCCAAAUCCAGCUAAAAACAGCUUAAAAAAUACCACCAGCUGACACAGGAAAAUAAUUUCAGUGAUUAAAUCAUCAACCAGAUCUUAAGGAAACCAAGCAGAAGCUAAUGCCUCAUCAUUAAUUCAACAUCAAAAUGGAGCCACCAUAUUCUACUCUUCCAUUCUGUUUUAUUGAAGAUCCUCAUAAAUUUCUGAAGGAGUGAAAAAGACCAAGUUUCUGAAGUGCUUCACUCAAUAGCUUAUGUGUUUCAUCAGAAAUCUUCCAAGGUAACAGUGUUAUGAUGAGAAUGGACUCAAGGUGAGCCAGGGGAGGCUCAGGUUGGGUAUUAGGAAAAAAUUCUUCUCAAACAGCAGCGAGGCGCUGGUCAGGCUGCCCAGGGAAACAGUGGUGUCAGCGUCCCUGCAGGUGCUCAAGAACCCACACAAAGAACUCGUGCCCACAGUACUGCCGCCCGACAGAACGAGAGCCAGAGCAAAGGAAACACCACGGCAGGACGCAACGUUCCGCUCCACCCAGCAGCCGGCGGGCAGCACUGCGCCUCCGCGGUAACAUCUGGCACCCCUACCCUCUCCUCCGGACUUGGAAGUGCUGAGAAUGAAUGGGGGAUUUGGGGAGGAAGGGAGGCUGAGUGCUGUCUGACCUGUGAAGCUGGACAAUUAUUUGCAGAUUCCUCAUAUCAGUGUGUUUGUGCAGUAGCCGUGGGUGAUCUUCCUGGCAGUUCACAAGCUCACAGGGAUAGGCAUGUGGUGAAAGCCUCCAAGCAUGAAAAGGGAGUGUACUAGAAGAUGACAAAGUACUGACACCCCAGCUCUCCUGCAGUUUUAUGAAGAAGAACUGUUAGAACCAGCCUGAAACAAGUGGC
rnacentral:lncRNA from 1 species